rnacentral:rRNA from 1 species
AUACGUAGGGUGCAAGCGUUAAUCGGAAUUACUGGGCGUAAAGCGUGCGUAGGCGGUUUGUUAAGUCUGUCGUGAAAGCCCCGGGCUCAACCUGGGAAUGGCGAUGGAAACUGGCGAGCUAGAGUACGGUAGAGGAGAGUGGAAUUCCGCGUGUAGCAGUGAAAUGCGUAGAUAUGCGGAGGAACACCGAUGGCGAAGGCAAUCCCCUGGGCCUGCACUGACGCUCAUGCACGAAAGCGUGGGGAGCAAACAGGAUUAGAUACCCUGGUAGUCCCCGCCCUAAACGAUGUCAACUGGUUGUUGGGUCUCUUCUGACUCAGUAACGAAGCUAACGCGUGAAGUUGACCGCCUGGGGAGUACGGCCGCAAGGUUGAAACUUAAAUGAAUUGGCGGGG